rnacentral:rRNA from 1 species
UUGGGUAGGGGAGCGUUCUGUAAGCCUGUGAAGGUGGCCUGUGAGGGUUGCUGGAGGUAUCAGAAGUGCGAAUGCUGACAUAAGUAACGAUAAAGCGGGUGAAAAGCCCGCUCGCCGGAAGACCAAGGGUUCCUGUCCAACGUUAAUCGGGGCAGGGUGAGUCGACCCCUAAGGCGAGGCCGAAAGGCGUAGUCGAUGGGAAACGGGUUAAUAUUCCCGUACUUGGUGUUACUGCGAAGGGGGGACGGAGAAGGCUAUGUUGGCCGGGCGACGGUUGUCCCGGUUUAAGCGUGUAGGUGUGUGUUCCAGGUAAAUCCGGUUCACUUUAACACUGAGGCGUGAUGACGAGGCACUACGGUGCUGAAGCAACAAAUGCCCUGCUUCCAGGAAAAGCCUCUAAGCAUCAGGUAACAUCAAAUCGUACCCCAAACCGACACAGGUGGUCAGGUAGAGAAUACCAAGGCGCUUGAGAGAACUCGGGUGAAGGAACUAGGCAAAAUGGUGCCGUAACUUCGGGAGAAGGCACGCUGACAUGUAGGUGAAGUGAUUUACUCAUGGAGCUGAAGUCAGUCGAAGAUACCAGCUGGCUGCAACUGUUUAUUAAAAACACAGCACUGUGCAAACACGAAAGUGGACGUAUACGGUGUGACGCCUGCCCGGUGCCGGAAGGUUAAUUGAUGGGGUCAGCGCAAGCGAAGCUCCUGAUCGAAGCCCCGGUAAACGGCGGCCGUAACUAUAACGGUCCUAAGGUAGCGAAAUUCCUUGUCGGGUAAGUUCCGACCUGCACGAAUGGCGUAAUGAUGGCCAGGCUGUCUCCACCCGAGACUCAGUGAAAUUGAACUCGCUGUGAAGAUGCAGUGUACCCGCGGCAAGACGGAAAGACCCCGUGAACCUUUACUAUAGCUUGACACUGAACAUUGAGCCUUGAUGUGUAGGAUAGGUGGGAGGCUUUGAAGUGUGGACGCCAGUCUGCAUGGAGCCGACCUUGAAAUACCACCCUUUAAUGUUUGAUGUUCUAACGUGGACCCGUAAUCCGGGUUGCGGACAGUGUCUGGUGGGUAGUUUGACUGGGGCGGUCUCCUCCUAAAGAGUAACGGAGGAGCACGAAGGUUGGCUAAUCCUGGUCGGACAUCAGGAGGUUAGUGCAAUGGCAUAAGCCAGCUUGACUGCGAGCGUGACGGCGCGAGCAGGUGCGAAAGCAGGUCAUAGUGAUCCGGUGGUUCUGAAUGGAAGGGCCAUCGCUCAACGGAUAAAAGGUACUCCGGGGAUAACAGGCUGAUACCGCCCAAGAGUUCAUAUCGACGGCGGUGUUUGGCACCUCGAUGUCGGCUCAUCACAUCCUGGGGCUGAAGUAGGUCCCAAGGGUAUGGCUGUUCGCCAUUUAAAGUGGUACGCGAGCUGGGUUUAGAACGUCGUGAGACAGUUCGGUCCCUAUCUGCCGUGGGCGCUGGAGAACUGAGGGGGGCUGCUCCUAGUACGAGAGGACCGGAGUGGACGCAUCACUGGUGUUCGGGUUGUCAUGCCAAUGGCACUGCCCGGUAGCUAAAUGCGGAAGAGAUAAGUGCUGAAAGCAUCUAAGCACGAAACUUGCCCCGA